GACGAACGCUGGCGGCGUGCUUAACACAUGCAAGUCGAACGGAAAGACCCUGCUUUUGCGGGGUGCUCGAGUGGCGAACGGGUGAGUAACACGUGAGUAACCUGCCCUUGACUUUGGGAUAACUCCAGGAAACUGGGGCUAUUACCGGAUAGGAGCUACUGCUGCAUGGUGGGGGUUGGAAAGUUUCGGCCGUUGGGGAUGGUCUCGAGGCUUAUGAGCUGGUUGGGGGGGUAGUGGCUUACCAAGGCUUUGACGGGUAGCCGGCCUGAGAGGGUGACCGGCCACAUGGGGACUGCGAUACGGCCCAGACUCCUACGUGCGGCAGCAGUCGGGAACAUGGCACAAUGGCCGGGAGCCUGAGACGGCAACGCCGCGUGCGGAAUACCGUCCUACGGGUUGUGAACCGCUUUCGCCGGUAACGAAGAGUGCGUGACGGUAAUGGGUAAAGAAGCACCGGCUAACUACGUG
rnacentral:rRNA from 1 species